CCCCCUCCCAUCUGCCCUUCCUCCUCCCAGAGCAGCGCUGCUCCUGGGACACCCAAGGCCACCUCCAGAGAGGGCACAGGACAACAGGAGGGCAGCGCAGCCACAGGGGCGCCCCAGGCUAUUAUGAGGUGGUCUUUGUUUAAGUUCUUCCCAAAUUUCUCACUGAGCUGUUGGAUCAGGUCCGCCAGCUCGCCGGUAGCUUGAGAUUUCUCUUCAAGAAGCUCAUAGCGCAGGCUGGAAAUAUCUUGCUUGAUUUCCUUCAGUUCACCUGCAAGGACAGAUGAGAGCUGGGGAGGAGAAACGCCUAAGCCUCUGAGGGCAUCGGCUCAGCACAGUGGACCCGGCGGUGGAGCAGCCUCGCAGGAGCGGGGUUUGUCUGGAUCACGGAAGCACGUGCCUCCCGGCGCCCGGCGCCAGAUCUGCCUCCUCCUCCUCCCCUAGCAAGGGACCGCCAGGUGGGGACCUCUGCUUCUCUUAUGAACCACAUGGGCCUGGGCUGUGGGACUCCUAUUAACUGCAGAGGGGAGUCGAGAGGGUCUCUCCUGAUACGGUAGAUCCUGGACUUAAGUGGAGGCCACGGCCUGAGCCACAUCAGUCAUAUCUCUGCACCACGCAUGCCUUACAGAAGAUGCAGAGGCCUUCAGGGUACAGUUUGGCUCCGUUCUGACAAAGGCAUACCUCCCCUCUUUUAUUGUCAUAGGGGCUUCGCUAGAAUUCUGGCGGUGUGAAACCUGGGCCGCCCCACUUCUGUCAUCAGUUUCAUUAUGUCAGUCACCUUACACGCUGCUGGGGGCUGGCUGCCAUGGCAUCGGGCAGGUGUAUAUGGGAGACCCAACAGGAGGGGGGUGGGUAAUGGCUGUUGCUGCUCCUAGAUGGGGUCAGCCCAGCGGUCAUUUGGUCAGGCUGGGCCGAUCUUCAGGCUGCUCAACCAGAAGGUCACUAAAUGACUAGGCGCCUUCUGGAAGCCCCUGGGGCCCCUGCAGUGGACUUAAUGCCUUCAUUCUUGGAGGAGGCUGUUUCUGGGGAGCAAAUAUUUAUCCUAGGUGUCUCAUGAAGAUUAAUUACCUGGUAUAUGGUCGUUUGCUUUUCCCUUAAGAGUAAUUGCUUAAAAUAGACUGGAAAAUAACCCAAACAAUGAAAAUAACCUAGUUGGAAAACUUCAGUGAGCAUCAGAAGGACCUGGUGUUCUUAUCACAGUGUAGACCCCGGGCCCUGUUGAUUCAUUUGAUUUGGGUGGGCCGUGGGAUCCGCAUUCUUAGUAAGUGCUCUGGGGCAGGGUUCUUUGUGAAGCAAGAUUCUGAGAGCCUGCAAGACAGGACAGGGCCAGGGCAUUGAGGCUGUCGCAGAACCUGCAGGGUGUGUCGUCUGCCCGUGUCUGUCUGUGUGCCCACGGGAUGGGGAAUUCUGGGCCGUCCUGAGCUCAGGGACAGGAUGCCAACUCACGGGAGGCAGCCGUGACUGCGGGGAGCAGAACAAUGCGAGCAGGGCUCCGUGUCCUGUUGCUGGGACUCAGAUGAAGGGGCUAUAUGCAGAGACGGGAGGGCGGCCUCUAGGGCCAGACAGCCAGCCAGGGAACAGAGACCCCAGUCCCACCAUUGCAUGGACCCGUGUUCUGCCAACACCCCACUGAGCGGGGAAGCCGAGCCUCCCCAGGAGCACAGCCCCGCCGCCCACAGGACGACUUCAGCCUGCUGAGGCCACGUCCAGCUCCCGCCUUCUGGGAAACGAAUCCCA